CGGGGGGGGGGCAAGCGUUGUUCGGAAUUACUGGGCGUAAAGGGCUCGUAGGCGGCCAACUAAGUCGGACGUGAAAUCCCUCGGGCUCAACCGAGGAACUGCGUCCGAUACUGGAUGGCUUGAGUCCCGGGAGAGGGAUGCGGAAUUCCAGGUGUAGCGGUGAAAUGCGUAGAUAUCUGGAGGAACACCGGUGGCGAAGGCGGCAUCCUGGACCGGCACUGACGCUGAGGAGCGAAAGCCAGGGGAGCAAACGGGAUUAGAUACCCCGGUAGUCCUGGCCCUAAACGAUGAAUGCUUGGUGUGGCGGGUAUCGAUCCCUGCCGUGCCGAAGCUAACGCGAUAAGCAUUCCGCCUGGGGAGUACGGUCGCAAGGCUG
rnacentral:rRNA from 1 species